UACGGAGGAUGCAGGCGUUAUCCGGAUUUAUUAGGUUUAAAGGGUGCGUAGGCGGCUUUUUAAGUCAGUGGUGAAAGUUUGCAGCUUAACUGUAAAAUUGCCAUUGAUACUGGAGAGCUUGAAUAUGGUAGAGGUAGGCGGAAUGUGUAGUGUAGCGGUGAAAUGCUUAGAUAUUACACAGAACACCAAUUGCGAAGGCAGCUUACUAUGCCAUCAUUGACGCUGAGGCACGAAAGCGUGGGUAGCGAACAGG
rnacentral:rRNA from 1 species